rnacentral:rRNA from 1 species
UACGUAGGGUGCGAGCGUUGUCCGGAAUUACUGGGCGUAAAGGGUUCGUAGGUGGUUUGAUAAGUUAUCUGUAAAAGCCCUGGGCUCAACCUAGGAAGGUCAGAUAAUACUGUUGGACUCGAGUAUGGGAGAGGGUAGUGGAAUUUCCGGUGUAGCGGUGAAAUGCGUAGAGAUCGGAAGGAACACCAGUGGCGAAGGCGGCUACCUGGCCUAAUACUGACACUGAGGAACGAAAAGCGUGGGGAGCAAACAGG